AAGCAAAACUUUAAUUAAAACUCUCAUCAAUUUCCUUAUUUCGGAUAAGAACAACACACAAAAAAACCAGUCUGUGAUCCUCUCUCCCAAGGAAGGAUGGUGAAAAAUCAGCCGAUGAUGUUGGUUACUUGAGAAGCCGCAGAGUCUCCGGUGGGUUAUUGCUGGAGCUAUUUUCCGGUGACAUUGCUCUUUCAUCCUCUGUUUCCAGAAGUUUCUUCAUCUCCCUAAUCUAUGUUCAAAACAAGAAGAUAUAUACAAGCUAUAUAGAUUCGAAGGGGACAUAUACAAGAAGAACCCUAGCUAGUUGCAAAGUUCUCGAGCAAAAAAAAAAAAAGGAAUCUACAAGAUAAGAGGAGGGGAAGAAUGGUGUU